UACGGUAGGGUGCAAGCGUUAAUCGGAAUUGACUAGGGCGUAAGCGGUGCGCAGGCGGUUUUGUAAUGUCUGUCGUGAAAAGCCCCGGGACUCCAAGCCUGGGAAUUGACGAUGGAGACUGCAAGGCUUGAAUCUGGGCAGAGGGGGGGUAGCGAAUUCCACGUGUAGCAGUAGAAAUGCGUAGAGAGUGUGGAGGAACAGCCGAUGGCGAAGGCAGCCCCCUGGGGUCAAGAUUGACGCUCAUGCACGAAAGCGUGGGGAGCAAACAGG
rnacentral:rRNA from 1 species